CAUUAGAGAAAUUUAUGGGGAGUUGAGCUGGCUGAAAGGCAUGUGCUCGCUUUCUAAAUUAUCUUAUCCAUACACCUGUGCACCUUUGGGGAGAAAAUGCUAUCUGAUAGUAAAUUCUCCUCGUUUUUACACAAACUCUUAUAAUAACAUUGAACGUGAUCUAGUGCCGCAAGGCCUUAAUCAAAUAUACAACUUUUAACAACGGAUCUCUUGGCUCUCGCAUCGAUGAAGAACGCAGCGAAUUGCGAUAAGUAAUGUGAAUUGCAGAAUUCAAUGAAUCAUCGAAUUUUUGAACGCAUCUUGCGCUCCCUGGUAUUCCGGGGAGCAUGCCUGUUCGAGUGUCGUAAACUUCUCAAUCCAGCUAGUUUUUGCGAACUAUGUUGGCAUUGGAUUUGGGUUUUGCUGCGUUAAUGCAGCUGGCCUUAAAGUUAUUAGCUGAAUCUUGUCUGAUGAAGACUGGUUUGACUCGGCGUGAUAAUUAUCUGACCGCUGAGGACAUCGCAAGAUGGCCAGACUUUUUGACUGAGAGUCGCUUCUAAUCGUCGGAUUCUAUCUGACAUGAAGAAUUUACACUUCACCCCUUUGACCUCGAAUCAGGUAGGACUACCC
rnacentral:rRNA from 1 species